rnacentral:rRNA from 1 species
UACGUAGGUGGCAAGCGUUGUCCGGAUUUACUGGGCGUAAAGAGCGCGCAGGCGGUCUUGCAAGUCGCGUGUGAAAGCCCCCGGCUCAACUGGGGAGGGUCACGCGAUACUGCUCGACUCGAAGGCAGGAGAGGGAAGUGGAAUUCCCGGUGUAGUGGUGAAAUGCGCAGAUAUCGGGAGGAACACCAAUGGCGAAGGCAGCUCGCUGGGACGGUACUGACGCUGAGACGCGAAAGCGUGGGGAGCAAACAGG